GAGGAGGCUGAGCCUCGAAGGAGGUGGACACAACGUAGUGUGCGAACAAGGACACUGGAUCCUGAAGGGGGUGGACACGAGGCGGUGUGCCAGUAAGAACACUAGACCCCAAAGUGGGGUGGAUUUGAGGGUGGUCCCACAUCGAUUGGAGGAAGGAAAGAGUGCCAACAAGGACGCUGGGUCUCGA